rnacentral:misc_RNA from 1 species
ACAGAGAGUAUUGACGUGUUACUGAGGUCUGGAGCUGACGUUAAUGUACAGAAUAGUACAGGUGACACGCCACUUCAUAGAGCAGCAGCAGAACGAGGAUCUACAAAGUGUGUUGAGGUGUUACUGAAGGCUGGAGCUCAUGUUAAUGUUCAGAAUAACACAGGUGACACACCUCUUCACAGAGCAGCA